rnacentral:tRNA from 1 species
GCCUCGGUGGCUCAGCCUGGCAGAGCGAGUGAUUUGUAAUCACUAAGUCGCGAGUUCGAAUCUCGCUCGGGGCU